GCCCUCGUGGAUGAAUUGGUGCAUCACUCGUUCCCAAUUCGGGACUGACGAUGCAGGAAGCAAAUGGGGGGUGGGGGUUGGAGUCCCCCCGAGGGCA